UGGGGAAUAUUGGACAAUGGGCGAAAGCCUGAUCCAGCCAUGCCGCGUGUGUGAAGAAGGUCUUCGGUUUGUAAAGCACUUUAAGUUGGGAGGAAGGGCAGUUACCUAAUACGUAAUUGUUUUGACGGUUCCUGAAGAAUAAGCACCGGCUAACUACGUGCCAGCAGCCGCGGUAAUACGUAGGGUGCAAGCGUUAAUCGGAAUUACUGGGCGUAAAGCGCGCGUAGGUGGUUUGUUAAGUUGAAUGUGAAAUCCCCGGGCUCAACCUGGGAACUGCAUCCAAAACUGGCAAGCUAGAGUAUGGUAGAGGGUAGUGGAAUUUCCUGUGUAGCGGUGAAAUGCGUAGAUAUAGGAAGGAACACCAGUGGCGAAGGCGACUACCUGGACUGAUACUGACACUGAGGUGCGAAAGCGUGGGGAGCAAACA
rnacentral:rRNA from 1 species